rnacentral:rRNA from 1 species
GAUGAACGCUAGCGGCAGGCUUAAUACAUGCAAGUCGAGGGGUAGUGGAAGCUUGCUUCCAUGAGACCGGCGCACGGGUGCGUAACGCGUAUGCAACCUACCUCUAUCUGGGGGAUAGCCCGGAGAAAUCCGGAUUAACACCGCAUAAAAUCACAGUACGGCAUCGUACAAUGAUCAAAUAUUUAUAGGAUAGGGAUGGGCAUGCGUGUCAUUAGUUAGUUGGCGGGGUAACGGCCCACCAAGACCACGAUGACUAGGGGAUCUGAGAGGAUGGCCCCCCCACACUGGUACUGAGACACGGACCAGACUCCUACGGGAGGCAGCAGUAAGGAAUAUUGGUCAAUGGAGGCAACUCUGAACCAGCCAUGCCGCGUGCAGGAAGACGGCCCUCUGGGUUGUAAACUGCUUUUAUUCGGGAAUAACCUGCUUACGUGUAAGUAGCUGAAUGUACCGAAGGAAUAAGGAUCGGCUAACUCCGUGCCAGCAGCCGCGGUAAU